AAAUCCCGGGCAGGUGUGUAGCAGAGACAGAGGUGCAGGCCCAGCUUGUGGCUGAUCAGCAGGAAUCCAAGGGGGUGGCAAGGUGAUUUCUGUGAACCAGCAGUGCUGCAGACUCUCGUGCAAGAACUCCAGCCCUGCCAGCCCUGCGCCUUUCCCUGCUGCCUGCGGGAUGGACCUUCGACCGCCUUCCCUGGGGCACCGCCUGAUCCAGGCCUGGACACGGCCACAGGGCUCCCUGGCCCCUCCCGGCUGACCAGGCCCCAAGCACCCAGGACAGUGAGCAGUUUGGAGACCAGAGCCUGGCGUGCUCACCCCUCAGGGCCAUCAGCACACAAGGGGCCCACACCCACGCUCCAGGGGAUGAAAGGGCCAGCUAGAAAGGGCCCCAAAUGUGAAAGGCUGUUCCAGGAAAACCUGGGGAAAUAUUCCUAACUUCUCUCACAAUCAAACAAAUGAAAAUCAAUACAACUGCACAAUGCCAUCUCCACCCUACACCCAGAAGAAUCGAGAAAAUGGAGCAAAUGCUAGGUGUGUCGCCAGGUGUGCCGGUGGCCUCUGGGCCUGGGGCCGUGCAAGGAACUGGUGACCCCAGUGCAGGACACCUGAGAAGAGCAUCCCUUCUCCCACGGGAGUGUCUGGAGUCCAGAGGGGUACAUGCAUGAAGACCUGCAUGGAAACUACACCGAAACCUGCUCAGUGGAGCCGCCUUUGGCCUGAGAACAGGUGGGGAAGAGUAUUUGGAUCUCAUUUCGUACUCUUAAAAUGUCAUCAGGAAACAUCUGGAUGGAAGGGUUUGUGGUAAAUUUGAUUUCCUUCUUUA